rnacentral:sRNA from 10 species
CUUAAUUAUCCGAUCCGGAAACAACUCGAGACGGGAGAAGGAAGAGAUAAAGAAGUUAGAGAACGGAAGGUGAAAGCUCUAAUAAAGAAAGGUACCAAAAGAUUUAUUAGACCACCAAGAUCAAAAGAGAAAUUGAUCAAGGAGCUAGAGAAAAAAACUCAAAUCUAGACACUUUCGAACUCGAACUAAA